CCAACAACCAGGACGGGAUUCGCUGGAAAACUGCAGUGUGUGCUCCUUCUGGUGGGUUCUGCAUUCUUUCCUAGUGAAGUAUUGUACAUGGAAAACCAGAAUAUAUGGUCAGCAUUCCUCCUAUAAACAGAGCAUUGUGCAUUGUGAAAGAAUUACUUAGCGAUGACUGGAGGGAGGCCAUGCUUACCCUGCCCCCAUCCAUGUGGUCCCAGCGUGCUGCCGACGUGGAGCCGGGUGUUCCCCACCUGAUGGACACAUGGUCGGAGAGCACUGUCUUACGGGUGUUUCCCACCUGAUGGACACGUGGUUGGGGAGCACUGUCUUGCUAGGUGCUCCCCACCUGAUGGACACGUGGCUGGGGAGCACUGUCUUGCUAGGUGCUCCCAACCUGAUGGACACGUGGCUGGGGAGCACUGUCUUGAGGGCAUUCCCCACCUGAUGGGCACGUGGCCGGGGAGCACUGUCUUGCUUCUCUGCUUCCCUGGGACCCUGCCUGACUGUGGCUGCCUCUCCUGUGUGUCAGCUGCCAGACCACACGCAGUCACACAGGGUGUGGAGACCCAGGUGGGUGCUCUAGCUGCUCUAGCUGACGCCGGCGCACUGUGCCCUGCGUACUGGUCCUGCACGGCCUGUCCCGGUGCUUCCUCCCGGAUUCCUUAGAGUAGCCCUCGCGGCUGCCGGACACUUCUGCUGCCACCAGGAGGAUGGGUCCUCACUCCCCUGAGCCGUGUCUGCAGCUGGCCCGUGUGGGCCCAGCAGGCCGCACUUCACUGCCAGAUCCGUUCCGCCGGCGUUCCC
rnacentral:lncRNA from 1 species